UCUGCAAGUAGCGUGGCAGACGGGUGAGUAACACGUGGGCAACCUGCCCGGAGGUGGGGGAUAACCUUCCGAAAGGAAGGCUAAUACCGCAUAACAUCACGAUCUCCUCGGGGAACGUGCUCAAAGCAGGCCUCUGUUUCAUGCUUGCGCCACCGGAGGGGCCCGCGCCCCAUUAGCUUGUUGGUGAGGUAACGGCUCACCAAGGCCACGAUGGGUAGCCGGCCUGAGAGGGCGAUCGGCCACACUGGAACUGAGACACGGUCCAGACUCCUACGGGAGGCAGCAGUGAGGAAUUUUGCGCAAUGGGCGAAAGCCUGACGCAGCGACGCCGCGUGGAGGAUGAAGGCCCUCGGGUCGUAAACUCCUGUCAAGAGGGACGAAGGAUGCAGAGGUUAAUACCCUUUGCGUUUGACGGUACCUCUGGAGGAAGCCCCGGCUAACUCCGUGCCAGCAGCCGCGGUAAUACGGAGGGGGCUAGCGUUGUUCGGAAUUAUUGGGCGUAAAGGGCACGCAGGCGGUUUGGCAAGUCGAAAGUGAAAUCCCUCGGCUCAACCGAGGAACUGCUUUCGAUACUGCCGGACUUGAGUCCCGGAGAGGGUAGCGGAAUUCCCAGUGUAGCGGUGAAAUGCGUAGAUACUGGGAGGAACACCUGUGGCGAAGGCGGCUGCCUGGACGGGUACUGACGCUGAGGUGCGAAAGCUAGGGGAGCAAACAGGAUUAGAUACCCUGGUAGUCCUAGCUGUAAACGAUGAACACUUGGUGUUGCGGGUAUCGA
rnacentral:rRNA from 1 species